rnacentral:lncRNA from 1 species
AAGGUAGCUAGGGAGCCGGGUGAAAACUCCCCGCUAACGUUUAACAAUGUUAGCCACGGGCCGGUGCUUCGAUUCUCUCCCCACCUCUCACCCCGCUCUGAGAAAACCCCGGGUGAGCUCGUGGUGCCCAAAUAUCAUUACUGCAAUGGGGAAUGCAAGUGCCUCGUGCUCCGUCUCUGUGAGCUGAGAGAUAGAGAGGAGGAAAUACCAGGCCACUCUGGGAAAUACAGUACCACGGAGACGUCUGAUGCUCUUCACCAAAAAAGAACAUACCUUGACAUCACAGGCGUUAGCUGGUGCUGGGGAGAUCAUGAAUAUUCAUAUCUGAGAUAAUUCUGAACAUCGUUCUAAUCAAGAAAGUGUGUGGGAUGAAAAAAGGUUUUGAGAAUCACGGCCGCUCCCCUGACAGAAAAAUAAAUAAAUAAUCACUCUCUCUCUCACAAUCAGCCAGUGAAAUGUAAAUACCGUAAAACUUCAAUCAAUAGCAUGGGCGUUUAUUUGCUUCAAUCACUGAACACAACAGUUGCUUAUUAGUGACGGGCUUCUGUUUGAACCAGGCGUCUAUUUCCUUAAUGCAGACAGCUUUUGCUCAUUUGCAUGCAUAGUUAAUUGUUUAAUUCCAGCAUUCACAUCCAGCAUUUUAAUACAUUUCUUAAUUUUCUUCAAUUUCUUCAUAAUGUUUUAUCAUUUACACACUGUGUCACAUUUAUUUUGUCUU